rnacentral:misc_RNA from 1 species
UCCGGUUUGGCACCGGCAGUCCCCCCAGAGUCCUCGGCAUGACCCGGUAGCAACUGGGGGCGGGGGUUGCGCUCGUUGCGGGACUUAACCCAACACCUCACGGCACGAGCUGACGACAGCCGUGCAUCACCUCGCACAGUGCCCCGAAGGGAGACCGGCUUUCACCGGCUGUCACUGCACGUUCAAGCCCAGGUAAGGUUCUUCGCGUCGCAUCGAAUUAAACCACACGCUCCGCUGCUUGUGCGGGCCCCCGUCAAUUCCUUUGAGUUUUAGCCUUGCGGCCGUACUCCCCAGGCGGGGCACUUAAUGCGUUAGCGUCGGCACGGAGGGGGUCGAUACCCCCCACAUCUAGUGAGCAUCGUUUACGGCGUGGACUAC